GAUGAAGAACGCAGCGAAAUGCGAUAAGUAAUGUGAAUUGCAGAAUUCAGUGAAUCAUCGAAUCUUUGAACGCACAUUGCGCCCCCUGGUAUUCCGGGGGGCAUGCCUGUUCGAGCGUCAUUUCACCACUCAAGCCUCGCUUGGUAUUGGGCAACGCGGUCCGCCGCGUGCCUCAAAUCGACCGGCUGGGUCUUCUGUCCCCUAAGCGUUGUGGAAACUUUCGCUAAAGGGUGUUCGGGAGGCUACGCCGUAAAACAACCCCAUUUCUAAGGUUUACCUCGGAUCAGGUAGGGAUACCCGCUGAACUUAAGCAUAUCAAUAAGCGGAGGA
rnacentral:misc_RNA from 1 species